UCGGGGGUCCUAUAAGCCAUGCGAGUCAUGGGGCGCGCUCUGCGCGCACCGGCGGACGGCUCAGUAACACGUCGGUAACCUACCCUCGGGAGGGGGAUAACCCCGGGAAACUGGGGCUAAUCCCCCAUAGGCCUGGGGUACUGGAAGGUCCCCAGGCCGAAAGGGGCUUUUGCCCGCCCGAGGAUGGGCCGGCGGCCGAUUAGGUAGUUGGUGGGGUAACGGCCCACCAAGCCGAAGAUCGGUACGGGCCAUGAGAGUGGGAGCCCGGAGAUGGACACUGAGACACGGGUCCAGGCCCUACGGGGCGCAGCAGGCGCGAAACCUCCGCAAUGCGGGCAACCGCGACGGGGGGACCCCCAGUGCCGUGGCACAGCCACGGCUUUUCCGGAGUGUAAAAAGCUCCGGGAAUAAGGAGCUGGGCAAGGCCGGUGGCAGCCGCCGCGGUAAUACCGGCGGCCCAAGUGGUGGCCGCUAUUAUUGGGCCUAAAGCGUCCGUAGCCGGGCCCGUAAGUCCCUGGCGAAAUCCCACGGCUCAACCGUGGGGCUUGCUGGGGAUACUGCGGGCCUUGGGACCGGGAGAGGCCGGGGGUACCCCUGGGGUAGGGGUGAAAUCCUAUAAUCCCAGGGGGACCGCCAGUGGCGAAGGCGCCCGGCUGGAACGGGUCCGACGGUGAGGGACGAAGGCCAGGGGAGCGAACCGGAUUAGAUACCCGGGUAGUCCUGGCUGUAAAGGAUGCGGGCUAGGUGUCGGGCGAGCUUCGAGCUCGCCCGGUGCCGGAGGGAAGCCGUUAAGCCCGCCGCCUGGGGAGUACGGCCGCAAGUGCUGAAACUUAAAGGAAUUGGCGGGGGAGCACU
rnacentral:rRNA from 1 species